CCUACGGGAGACAGCAGUGGGGAAUAUUGGGCAAUGGAGGAAACUCUGACCCAGCAACGCCGCGUGAAUGAUGAAGGUCUUCGGAUUGUAAAGUUCUUUUCUAAGGGAAGAAGAAAGUGACGGUACCUUAGUAAUAAGCCUCGGCUAACUACGUGCCAGCAGCCGCGGUAAUACGUAGGGGGCAAGCGUUAUCCGGAAUGACUGGGCGUAAAGGGUGUGUAGGUGGUUUGACAAGUUGGUAGCGAAACUCCGGGGCUCAACCUCGGCAGUACUGCCAAAACUGUCGUACUUGAGUGCAGGAGGGGCAAAUGGAAUGCCUGGUGUAGCGGUGGAAUGCGUAGAUAUUAGGAGGAACACCAGUGGCGAAGGCGAUUUGCUGGACUGUAACUGACACUGAGGCACGAAAGUGUGGGGAGCAAACAGGAUUAGAUACCCGUGUAGUC
rnacentral:rRNA from 1 species